CCAAAUACCUCAUCUAAACUAAUGAGUUAGUAAUCAUUGGCUAUAACGACAGUACGCUACAUCUGAAGAAAACAUUACAUUAGUGUUUAUAGAACACUGAAGAAAGCAAACUGUUCUGGGUCAAUUUGCUGCCUGUAAAUUAGAGAUAAAUAAUUUUUAAAAAGACAAGAUAAUACAUAUAGGUCAAUGGAGUUUUGAACAAACAGACAAAAGUGCUAAACAUGUGGCCAGACCAAACCUGCCUUUAACUUCCUCUUGAUUGUGGUUACAAUCACCCUAUUCAUUUGAAAGCUCUGAGAAAGUUGAAAGUGUCAUCUCUACAGCCAUGGAAAAGAAACAAGACUGCAUCUUCCUGAAGUGUUUUAAUUUGCAGCUUUACCUCUGUGAGUUUAUUGUACUUUGAAUAUUUUAUUGUUCUUGUUUAUGUUUAAUGACACAAUAACAAUCUAUAGUGUGUGUGUGUGUGUAUGUGUGUGUGUGUGUGUGUGUGUGUGUGUUUGUGUGUGUGUGUUGUUUAUUUCACAGAUCUGUUCAUGUGGUGUCAAGCAGCAGAUACUUUAACAGAUCAACUAACAGAUUUGGGUCAGAAUGUGACUAUAAACUGUGAUUUGGUACAGGAGGUUAACUGGUUAUUACUGAAACUACCAGAUCCUCCAGUUCUGAUAUUACGCAGUUUCUCAUCUGCAGCUCCUCAUUACUACAAUAAUAGAUUUAGACACAAAUAUUCAGUGCGAAGUAAACAUCACCUGUUCAUAAACAAUGUCACUAUUGAUGAUUUAGGACUUUAUUACUGUGUGACCACAGACGCACCUCCAAAAUACAGCGACGGCACCAGACUACACAUCAUUGAACUGACGGAAGAGAUCCAGAAUCAUACAGUGGUGAAGUACAUCGAGAAGAAUCAGACACAUUGGCAGACCAUCUUCAUAUCUGCUUUCAUAAAUGGUCUUCUGAUCAUUGUGAUCAUAGGACUAUUAAAGGUGUUUGUUCAUGCAAGAAACAGAGAUGACUUGAAACAAUUUCAAGAUACAAACCUAAAGAAUCUUCAAGAUAUGGAUUUUGAACAACCUCAAGACUCAACACAAACACUGAUAUAUUACAUGAAAAUAUAAAGAACAUAAUAUGUCUCAAUGUUUAAGUGUGUGUUUAUAUGCUGUUUAGGGGCAAGUAAAUAUAAAAUACAUAAUACCUAAUUAUGCAUGUGAGAUUACUAAUUUGUUUUAGAAUCAAUAUGGCCAGAAAUAAUGAUAUUUUCAUGUCUUCUGCUGGCCUUGUUUUAUGCUUUUGUAAUUUGUUUAUUUCUGUUUUAAGUUUCAGUCUAAACAAAAAUAAAUAAAUAAAUAAAUAAAUAAAAUAAGCCACAGCGCAAAAGAAAUAUAGACAGAGACAGAUUUAGGACAUACACAGGGCCUUGUGUUUUUAAAGCACAUACGAUGAAGGUUCACACACCACAAAAUACAAACUGAUUUUAAUUUCAACAUGUAUUGCCUAUGUACGGAGCCCCGAACAUGACAUGCAGUUAUGUAUGGUAGAUGGAGAAAGACAAAUUCUUUGCAAUCUUGCACUGAGAAAUGUGAUUUUUGAAUUGUUUGACAAUUCCCUCAUGACAUUUGGCACAAAGUUGUGAGUCAUGAUCCAUCUUUUCUUGCAAAGUGUGAGAAGCUCUUUUAGACCUAAACACGAUACCCUCACCUAUUACCAAUUCACCUGCUAACUGUGGACUGUUUAAAAACAGUUUAACUUGGAUAUUAUACAAUCUUUUCACUUAUUUGGCUUCUGUCCCAACUUUUUUAGAGUGUGUUGCAGCCAUCAAAAUUAAAAUUUGUUUAUAUUCACAAAAUACAAUUAUGUUGAUCAGUGAAAACAUUGGAAAUCUUUUCUUUGUGCUUUUGUCAGUUAAAAAAAAAAAGGUUAAAGAGAAUUAACAAAUCACAGAUUGUGGUUUUUAUCACAUUUUACAAAAUGUCCCCGUGAUGGCUAAAGCCACACUUAUCCAAUAAUAGAUUACUUUAUUUCAAUGGUUCUAGCUUUCUUAUUUUAUGUUUUUUUUUUUUUUUUUUUUUUUUUUAAGUAAUUUAUUCGUUUUGUUUGAUGGAUUAAUUGUUUUUCUGCUUGUUUAUACAUUUUUAUGCAUUUAUUUUGUUUCUUUAAUAUUAUUUACCCAAACCAUUUUGUUAAAGGUGCAUGCUCUUUAUGUGCGCAUAUAAUAUCAAAGAGCGAUAAUUCGUUGCUAGAGUGCACGCUAGUGAUUGAAUAAAACCAAGACAAAGAUAUGGCUUUAAUAUUGUUUCUUUAUUUAAUUGUUUUGGUUAAUUGUGUCUUACCCGUGGUUCCGCCUGGAUCUGUGACUGCAGCAUGGAACAAAGACCUGUUAUUAAAAAGAGUGUGGCAUUUCCUCAUGUCCUUUAUAUAUCCUUUGCUGGGUAUUAUGGGAAAUGUAUUUUUUCGUUCACCAUAUGGGUUUGGAAUUGUUUGUUUAUUUAAAUGUAUUUUUGUAAAGUUUAUUUUUGUGUUUAUUUUCAUCAUUGCUUUAUGGUGAAUGUAAUUUCAGGGUAAUGAGUUUAUUUGUAUAUAUUAUGCUUUUUCGAAGUUUGAUUUACUGAGUGGAGACCCCCUGUAAUUAUAAAAUGGUUUAGACUGUUUUGUUAAAAGGGUUAAAUUUUCUGUGGCUGAGUUAGUUCUGGUGAGGGAUCCCUUGAGAAACAUCUGAGGCACAGAACUCAGUCUGUUGAGUUGUAAUUUAUUUAGUUUUUUUUUUUUCCUUUUCCUAUUUCUUCUUGCACCUGUGUGACUAGUACAUGAGUGUGGCAAUUAAUAAAAUGGAAAAAGUGAAGCUUCUAUGAGUGCCUCAUGAACAUUUUAUGGAAGAACCCUCACAGUCCCAACUCUUCUGGAAUUGGGGUUGUAUUUUAACUUUUCAUUUAUUUUACUACAUUGUAAAUAUUUUCUACGCAUAGGCUUAUCAGUAAACUUACAUUUCUUAAGUGGCCUUCUUUUCCCAUCUUAUAGUAUAUGAAACUGAACAAACAUUAAUCUUUUUUGAAUCUCUUAAAGGCACAGGAUCAGCGGGGGGUGGGGAACAGCCUGUUUAAUUCCAAAGGUCAUAAAUAUGGUGGAUAAGGUCAUUAAAAAAAAGUUUAAAGUUUAAAAAGUGAACAAGAAAACAACUUGAAAUUAUAAGUAGACACCAUAUGAUAUGACACCUUUCAUUAGUUGA